rnacentral:lncRNA from 1 species
GCCUUUUUUCCCCUUCUCUCCCCAAGCCUCUGGGCGCUGCUCCUCCUCCCUCCUUCCCACCGGCCCACGUGGCCACCAAACUCCUUUCCUGGUUAUUCAGACCUCUGGGCCAGCGCACUGCCUCAAGGAAGGCCUCCCAGACUGCACACUCCGGCCCCCGCAGUCCGCUGAGACCCCUCCGCCCCGGCGGCGUCUCCCAGCACCGGGUCCCCAGCGCCCAGCGCGGUCUGGCGCUGCAGCGGCGCCCGCGGGAGGCUGCGCGCCAGGGGAGGGCGCCUGGGCCGAGGGGCGAGGUGGCACCUCGAGGCCUCCGGCCCGAUCCCUGCCCAGCAGGGCGCCACCGGCCUGUCCCACACCCUCUCUGCCGCCUGCCCAGUGACCUAAUUAUUGUUUUUUCUUCCAGCCCCUGCGGAGGGGAAAAGAGAAAUUCCUGGAGGAUGACACAGGCCCGCCGCCGUGGGGACGCACGGGACCGGCUGGGCCGGCUGCGCCCCCGCCGCCGCCUAACUACAGAGCGCACCGACAUCGCCACGGCCGGCCCGGCCAGGCCUGUGGGCGCCCUGAUUCUGGGGCCGGGGGCCGGGGCUGGGGCGGGACUGCGGGUCCUUGGCACUGCGUUGGCCUGCGGGGGCAGCGCCUGGGGCUCACGGAGGAGGGCAGAGGGGGAGGGGUCCCUGCCCUCUGGGCAGGAACACGGGGCGCCCUGUGUUGAGGCCCUUGCCCUCAGCCCUCAGUCAUCGUGGGUUGUGCAUGUGGCUGCUCCCCAGAGCUAGGCCCCGGAAGGAGGCAGAGACUUGACACUGCGCUGGGCCUCGAUUCCCCAUCUGUGCAGUGGGCUGAUAGCGGGAGAGUGAGGUUUUACCAAGCUGGGGAAUCAAACCCAGGGCCUCCUGCAUGCUACGCAAGCGCUGUACCACCCUGCACACCCCCAGCCUGUAGCAGCUAACAGAUGCCGCCCGCCUCAGCACUGGGGAUUGGACCUCAGGAUUGUGCCUCCCACAGUGCUGGGAUUACAGACAUGGGGAACUUUUUGAGGAAAGUUGCUUCCUUCUGUCUCCUGCCAGCAAAUGUUGAUUGAGCACCUACUACCUGCUGGCACUGUGUUGGGCCUUGAGGUUAAAGCGGUGACUGAGAGAAAAUUCUGAUAAGACGAGGCUUCAGAGAG